UACCAGCUCUCCGAGUGGUGUGGAUGUUUAUUGGGCCUAAAGCAUCCGUAGCUGGCUGGGCAAGUCCCCUGUUAAAUCCACCGAUUUAAUCGUUGGUGUGCGGGGGAUACUGUUCGGCUAGGGGACGGGAGAGGCCGAUGGUAUUUUCGGGGUAGGGGUGAAAUCCUAUAAUCCCGGGAAGACCACCAGUGGUGAAGGCUGUCGGCUAGAACGCGCCCGACGGUGAGGGAUGAAAGCUGGGGGAGCGAACCGGAUUAGAUACCCGGGUAGUCCCAGCUGUAAACGAUGCAGGCUAGGUGUUUGGGCGGCCACGUGCCGCUCUAGUGCCGCAGAGAAGUCGUUAAGCCUGCCGCCUGGGGAGUACGGCCGCAAGGCUGAAACUUAAAGGAAUUGGCGGGGAGCACCACAAGGGGUGAAGCUUGCGGUUU
rnacentral:rRNA from 1 species